AGAGUUUGAUCCUGGCUCAGGACGAACGCUGGCGGCGCGCCUAACACAUGCAAGUCGAACGAGAGAUGAGGAGCUUGCUCUUCAAAUCGAGUGGCGAACGGGUGAGUAACGCGUGAGGAACCUGCCUCAAAGAGGGGGACAACAGUUGGAAACGACUGCUAAUACCGCAUAAGCCCACGGCUCGGCAUCGAGCAGAGGGAAAAGGAGCAAUCCGCUUUGAGAUGGCCUCGCGUCCGAUUAGCUAGUUGGUGAGGUAACGGCCCACCAAGGCGACGAUCGGUAGCCGGACUGAGAGGUUGAACGGCCACAUUGGGACUGAGACACGGCCCAGACUCCUACGGGAGGCAGCAGUGGGGAAUAUUGCACAAUGGGGGAAACCCUGAUGCAGCGACGCCGCGUGGAGGAAGAAGGUCUUCGGAUUGUAAACUCCUGUUGUUGAGGAAGAUAAUGACGGUACUCAACAAGGAAGUGACGGCUAACUACGUGCCAGCAGCCGCGGCAAAACGUAGGUCACAAGCGUUGUCCGGAAUUACUGGGUGUAAAGGGAGCGCAGGCGGGAGAACAAGUUGGAAGUGAAAUCCACGGGCUCAACCCAUGAACUGCUUUCAAAACUGUUUUUCUUGAGUAGUGCAGAGGUAGGCGGAAUUCCCGGUGUAGCGGUGGAAUGCGUAGAUAUCGGGAGGAACACCAGUGGCGAAGGCGGCCUACUGGGCACCAACUGACGCUGAGGCUCGAAAGUGUGGGUAGCAAACAGGAUUAGAUACCCUGGUAGUCCACACCGUAAACGAUGAUUACUAGGUGUUGGAGGAUUGACCCCUUCAGUGCCGCAGUUAACACAAUAAGUAAUCCACCUGGGGAGUACGACCGCAAGGUUGAAACUCAAAGGAAUUGACGGGGGCCCGCACAAGCAGUGGAGUAUGUGGUUUAAUUCGACGCAACGCGAAGAACCUUACCAAGUCUUGACAUCCCUUGACGAUGCUGGAAACAGUAUUUCUCUUCGGAGCAAGGAGACAGGUGGUGCAUGGUUGUCGUCAGCUCGUGUCGUGAGAUGUUGGGUUAAGUCCCGCAACGAGCGCAACCCUUAUGGUCAGUUACUACGCAAGAGGACUCUGGCCAGACUGCCGUUGACAAAACGGAGGAAGGUGGGGAUGACGUCAAAUCAUCAUGCCCUUUAUGACUUGGGCUACACACGUACUACAAUGGCGUUAAACAAAGAGAAGCAAGACCGCGAGGUGGAGCAAAACUCAGAAACAACGUCCCAGUUCGGACUGCAGGCUGCAACUCGCCUGCACGAAGUCGGAAUUGCUAGUAAUCGUGGAUCAGCAUGCCACGGUGAAUACGUUCCCGGGCCUUGCACACACCGCCCGUCA
rnacentral:rRNA from 1 species